CCUACGGGUGGCUGCAGUGAGGAAUAUUGGUCAAUGGACGGAAGUCUGAACCAGCCAUGCCGCGUGCAGGAUGACUGCUCUAUGGGUUGUAAACCGCUUUUGUACGGGAAUAAUAGUCCUUACGUGUAGGGUUUUGAUUGUACCGUACGAAUAAGGAUCGGCUAACUCCGUGCCAGCAGCCGCGGUAAUACGGAGGAUUCGAGCGUUAUCCGGAUUUAUUGGGUUUAAAGGGUGCGUAGGCUGGCAGAUAAGUUAGUGGUCAAAUGUCGGGGCUUCACCCCGUGCCUGCCUUUGAUACUGUUGGACUAGAGAGCAGAUGAAGCAGGCGGAAUGAGUAAAGUAGCGGUGAAAUGCAUAGAUAUUACUCAGAACACCGAUAGCGCAGGCAGCUUGCUAAACCGAAUCUGACGCUGAUGCACGAGAGCGUGGGUAGCGAACAGGAUUAGAUACCCCGGUAGUC
rnacentral:rRNA from 1 species